rnacentral:rRNA from 1 species
AGUGAACGCUGGCGGUAGGCCUAACACAUGCAAGUCGAACGGCAGCACAGUAAGAGCUUGCUCUUACGGGUGGCGAGUGGCGGACGGGUGAGGAAUACAUCGGAAUCUACUUUUUCGUGGGGGAUAACGUAGGGAAACUUACGCUAAUACCGCAUACGACCUACGGGUGAAAGCAGGGGAUCUUCGGACCUUGCGCGAUUGAAUGAGCCGAUGUCGGAUUAGCUAGUUGGCGGGGUAAAGGCCCACCAAGGCGACGAUCCGUAGCUGGUCUGAGAGGAUGAUCAGCCAAACUGGAACGGAGGCACGGUCCAGACUCCUACGGGAGGCAGCAGGGGGGAAUAUUGGACAAUGGGCGCAAGCCUGAUCCAGCCAUACCGCGUGGGUGAAGAAGGCCUUCGGGUUGUAAAGCCCUUUUGUUGGGAAAGAAAAGCAGCAGGUUAAGACCCCGCUGUUCUGACGGUACCCAAAGAAUAAGCACCGGCUAACUUCGU